AUUGAACGCUGGCGGCAGGCCUAACACAUGCAAGUCGAGCGGAGCGGCGGACGGGUGAGUAAUGCCUGGGAAUCUGCCUGGUAGUGGGGGAUAACGUCCGGAAACGGGCGCUAAUACCGCAUACUAUCAGAUGAGCCUAGGUCGGAUUAGCUAGGUGGAGGGGUAAAGGCCUACCAAGGCGAAGAUCCGUAACGGGUCUGCGAGGAUGAGCAGGCACACUGGAACUGAGACACGGCCCAGACUCCGACGGGAGGGAGGAGUGGUGAAUAUGGGACAAGGGGCGAAAGCCUGAUCCAGCCAUGCCGCGUGGGGGAAGAAGGUCUUCGGAUUGUAAAGCACUUUAAGUUGGGAGGCGUUACCAACAGAAUAAGCACCGGCUAACUCCGUGCCAGCAGCCGCGGUAAUAC
rnacentral:rRNA from 1 species